UGGGGUGAAGGAUGAUACCAAGAAGUUUUUUGAUGACCUAAGUCAAGGAUGGAGUCUCAUUUGGAUGACUUUCAGAAAUCUGAUUUAGCUCCUAUAAGUAUAGACUGGGAUUACAAGAGGACAAGGGUUACUGAAAUGCCUGUAGGCUUGAAAUGUAUGUUGAAACGUAUGCUUCCAGUUACUUGAAAUGUAACUGGAGACUUGAAAUGAAUGUAAAUAUUGAUAAAGGGAUUUUUUCCCCUCUUUAAAUGGGUUGAUGGUGGAAAAUUUUUUUCCAGGUGGUACCAAAGUCAAGAAGGUAAUAUGACUUUUAAAUGUAGAUUGGGCAAUAAAACUUGCAGCCAAAUUAGUUCUUCUAAGAAAGAAACCUUUUCUAGUACUUCUAGCAACUUCUAUCUUUCCUUUUAAUUCUAGAUCUAUCCCAGUGUGCUACCUGGUGUGUAACACCCCAGCUACUCACUCAACAGGGAGCAUGUUGGCUAAUCUUGUUUUUUCAGUGCAGUUUGACAAACUCAAGAGCAAAUUAAUUGAAGCCAGGAACAAUUUCAUCCUUUCCUGGCUCAUUUCUGGAUGCCCACUACCAAUUUAUGUUAGACCUUUUUUCCACUGGCUUAACUAUUGUUUUGCAUAGUUCUCUACAAUCUUCCCAGGCAGUAAUUGUAUUUGAUAUUUACUAAUCACGAUAGAAUUCAGGCAAGUUUCCAUCAGGAAAUGUAGCACUUCAAGUCCCCGCACCCAGCAAGCUGUUCAGCGUGGCCCACGGGAAUGUGCUUACAGCUUCAUCCUCUGUGGAUUAGAGGUCUAUAUCUGACUGCUCUUGCUCAAGAAUGCAGAGUGGAGGCAAAGAGAUAGUUUAAUUGGCUUUUCUGUGUCAUUCUGUAAUGUCCUUCACAGUUCUGUAUAGAAGCAUGGUUUGUCCUGCCAGAUGACUGUGAGAUCACAGUGCCUUACUGAAGAAUAGAGUAGAGGGGAAUAUGAACAAGCAAUGCUUUUGAAGUUGUGUUUCUUGCAUGUACCAAUGAAGGACUCUGUGGAGCUGUUCAAGUGAUCUGAAGAAGAAAUACAACAUAACAGCAAUUCCUAAACUGGUGAUUGUGAAACAAACUGGAGAAGUCAUUACUGACAAGGGAAGAAAACAGAUCAGAGACAAAGGGCUAUCGUGUUUCCGGAACUGGCUUGAGGGUGCAGAUAUCUUUCAGAAUUUUUCUAGCUAAAAUGUUGACAAAUAAAAGCCAGAAAAGGCAUUGUGGAAAA